CACGCCGUAAACGAUGGAUACUAGGUGUAGGAGGUAUCGACCCCUCCUGUGCCGGAGUUAACGCAAUAAGUAUCCCGCCUGGGAAGUACGAUCGCAAGAUUAAAACUCAAAGGAAUUGACGGGGGCCCGCACAAGCGGUGGAGUAUGUGGUUUAAUUCGACGCAACGCGAAGAACCUUACCAGGUCUUGACAUUGAUCGCGAUCUGCAGAAAUGCGGAGUUCUUCUUCGGAAGACGAGAAAACAGGUGG
rnacentral:rRNA from 2 species